GACGAACGCUGGCGGCGUGCCUAACACAUGCAAGUCGAACGGAAAGGCGCGGAGUUUGCGGGGUGCUCGAGUGGGGAACGGGGGAGUAAAACGCGAGGAAACUGCCCUUGAAUGAGGGAGAACAUCUGGAAACUGGGGAGCAAAUAGCGGAGGAGAUCUUGCUGCACGGGGGGGGUUGGAAAGAUUCGGCGGUUGUGGCUGGUCUCGAGGCUUAUGAGCUUGUUUGGGGGGUAGUGGCGUACCAAGGCUUUGAAGGGUAGCCGGCCUGAGAGGGUGGCCGGCCACCUGGGUCCUGCGGUACGGCCCAGACUCCUACCUGACGCAGCAGUGGGGAGUCUUGCACAACGGGCGCGAGUGUGAUGCAGCAAUCUCCCGUGCGUGAUGACGUCCUUCGAGUUGUGAACAGCUUUCGACUGUGCUGAGGCCUUAGUGACGGUACUGAGUCAGGAAGCACCGGCUAACUACGUG
rnacentral:rRNA from 1 species